AGAGUUUGAUCCUGGCUCAGGACGAACGCUGGCGGCGUGCUUAACACAUGCAAGUGGAGCGACGAACCGGGGCUUGCCCCGGGGCAGAGCCGCGAACGGGUGAGUAACACGUGGGUAACCCACCCCGAUGACCGGGACAACCCGAGGAAACUCGGGCUAAUACCGGAUGUGGUCGCUGUUCAUAAGAGCAACGACUAAAGAUAGCUUCGGCCUUCGCAUCGGGACGGGCCCGCGGCCCAUUAGCUUGUUGGUGGGGUAACGGCCUACCAAGGCGACGAUGGGUAGCUGGUCUGAGAGGACGAUCAGCCACACUGGGACUGAGACACGGCCCAGACCCCUACGGGAGGCAGCAGUGGGGAAUUGUUCGCAAUGGGCGCAAGCCUGACGACGCAACGCCGCGUGGAGGAUGAAGAUCUUCGGGUCGUAAACUCCUGUCGAGCGGGACGAACACUUAUCCGGUGAAUACCUGGAUAGGCUGACGGUACCGCUAAAGGAAGCCCCGGCUAACUCCGUGCCAGCAGCGGCGGUAAUUC
rnacentral:rRNA from 1 species